CAAAUAAAAAACUUUCAUAAAUCAUAAAAUCAUAAAGAGUUAUUCUUAGCAUGGCGUUGCUUAAGUUUGCAUUCGUUCUAACCGUUCUUCUCAUGACAAUCACUAGUUAGUUUUUAUCUCUCUUAUCUCUAUAUUGUGUACGUACAUAUGUGUACAUGCGAAGUCGAAAUCAAAUCCGACGAAAGGUGAUUAGUUGAACAUAUUAUACAAGAAAAUUAGUGUAUAUAUGUCAAAUAUUACUUUUUAAUGUGUGUGUUAAAAAGUUAUAUAUAUAUAUAUAUAUAUAUAACUUUUUAACACACACAUUAAAAAGUAAUAUUUGACAUAUAUACACUAAUUUUCUUGUAUAAUAUGUUCAACUAAUCACCUUUCGUCGGAUUUGAUUUCGACUUCGCAUGUACACAUAUGUACGUACACAAUAUAGAGAUAAGAGAGAUAAAAACUAACUAGUCAUAAGGUCUGAAUAAUCAUGAAUCCUAUCUUCUUUUUUACCAGAAAAAUCCGAACUAAGUAAUUUCUGUCUCACCUAAUCGUUGGUUACUGAGAGGUUAGAAGUAUAUCUUCGCUUGCCGGAAAAAGAAUUUGAUCCUGAUCCUUGUGGAUCGAAAGGUAGGCUAGACUGGACCUGCACGACCCUCCUAAUAAUAUCCAUAAAUGGCUUGUUUUUGGUAAUAGAUAAACAUUACCGUAUGUAAAUUCGGGUGCAUGAUAGACAUCGGUACUCCAGUGCAUUUCUCCGUCUGAAUCAGAAUAAAUAUGUUUUCGAACCUUCUACAUUACCGUAUGUAAAUUCGGGUGCAUGAUAGACAUCGGUACUCCAAUGUAUUUCUUCGUCUGAAUCAGAAAUAUAUAUAUAAAUAUAUAAUUAAAUCCUGGAAAUUCUUAACGAAAUUCUUGACUUGGCUACUGUAUACAUGGUCUUCCAACUUUUUCUAAACAUAUUAUUUGGGUGUGUGUUUUUCAUUUAUGUAAUACUUCUUAUCAUUUGAUUCUGAUCAAAUUUUGUUACGAUAAAUUUUUCAGUCAAUAUGUCGUGGUUCUCAGAGACGCAGGUACUGGCUUCACGAGAUAUUGAUCGUGAUCUCUUGGGACUUGAGAAGAGGCUACUCUCACCAAUUAAGCUUAUGACUUGUGGGAGAGAAUGUGUUUACAAUGAUUGUAAAGAUGAUUGUUGGAUUUGCUGUAGAUGUGUUAGAUCUGGUUGUGUCUUAUAAUUAUGCAAAUUGUUGAUAGAUUGGCGCAUUAGUGUCCAAUUACAAUCAACCGUACAACCUCAUAUUAUGUAUUUCUGUUAUAAAAUAUUCUAUUUAAGGUGAAUGUCUAUAUUUAGAGAGAUCCUAGGGUUUACUAUUUGGUGGCUAAGUCACCAUUUCCCUAUAAAUAAAGGGGUUCUCUCCCAUUGUAAAUCAUCCCA
rnacentral:lncRNA from 1 species